UGACGCAUUCAAACACUGAAGCGGAGGGAGUUGCCAUGGAAACGGGGCGGCCACACAACGACUGACAAGCACGAAACUCCGUCUGUCGCUGCUGUUUCCAUUGCUUUCGGUGUUUUAAUGCGUGCGCGCUGAACAUUGACACAUUCAAACACUGAAGUGGAGGGAGUUGUCAUGGAAACUCAAUGACUGACAAGCUGCUUUCCGUAAGUUUAGUCCCUAAAAUCGCACAAAUAUUACAAAUAGCUGUUCCUGACACAUGUCUUGCUUGUAUUUGGCUUCUGCUGAAUAUAGUUCAUUGAGAUGGUGUAGUGUCUUCGAACAAGUCCGUUAGCAUCUUAACCGGUUUCAGAGGAGGUAGGCUAAUAGACUUAGCUUUUCAUGAAAGUUUUGUAUUUUAAUCACAUCUGUAUGUGUAGACAAGACGUUUUGACUCGUCUGUAAUAGUUUUGCUGGUAAUUUUUCAAUGGGUGAUUAGAAAUAGGCUCAGACAACCGAAACAUAUACACGGUACCGUUCAUCGGUGACGUCACUGACGUAACUGAAUCCAGUUCAAACGCAUUUUGAUCACUCAUGGUAAACAAAUGUUGAUAAAAACUCUUCUGUAAUUUCAGGAGCAAAUAAAAAAAAAUCCUGAUGGACGCCACAGACGGAGAAGUAAGGGAUACAGAUGAACUAGGAAAGCCUUUUAAAUUGUAGGGCUUUGACAUCCAGAAGUAAGAAGUAUGAACAAUAUUAAAUUAAUAAGUAAACCUAGAAGCAAAUUAUGUUCUGUAUAUUUAUAUAUUCUUCUUUCUCUUUUCUACAUUUCACCUGUGCUCUAGCAUGGUUUCUAGUAAUAAACCUGGCAUUGUAUACAAAAUAUUGUUGGCUCUGUGACAAAUUGCUUCUUAUGUUCCUAGAUUCUUCCAUGAUGAUGGCCUGCACCCCAGAGCUGGAGUGAACCUCCUGUCGGACAACAUCUCCAAGGCACAGUAAACCAUAUGGCUGUCCUGUUCUUGGAGAUCUACCUUCCUGCAAACUUCAGCUCCUCGGGAUCAGUUGACAUUUACAGACGGGUGUGUUAAAUCAGGGUUAGAUCAGAAUUCUGCAAGUAGGUGGAUUUCCAGGCAAAGGAAUUGGCAGUCAUGUUAUAUUGGUUAUGUAUGAUGGAUUUUGAACUGUACUAUUUUUAUUGCAGGUUUUAUUGGGAUCCCAGUAGAAGACAUCAGAACACCAGAUGCUGGCCUGGACAGAUGUACCUACAGUAAACCACACCAAUCUCUCUGCUUUUGCAUAGAUGGCUGACUACUACCAUAUUCUAUGAAGGUAUUAUUAUAGUAAAACUGAGCACCUGUGACAGUGGAAUUUGUAGUUAUAAAGAAUAGUCACACAUGCGUAUCAGUACAUUUGAAGCAACAGAGAAUAUUUUUUAGGAGUUGCACUUUUUUUGUACUCUCUCUCUUACAAAAAUAAAACAACAGUUAUACCAUUUGAAAUUCUCAGGUGCACAAAUCCUAUUCUGCAAUUCACAAAUUACAAAAUGUAUAUGCUCACAGUUAGGCUAAAGUUGCUGCAGUGAAUGAGGGGCAAAACACUCGCAGUUGAAUAAAAAAAUCUCAAGUCAUAAACAAAUUUUGCACAUUUGUAUGUACAGUUGUAGUCAGAAUUAUUGGCACCGUUGGUAAAUAUGAAGCCUGUGAAAAUAAAACUGCAUUGUUAAUCCAUUUUGAUAAAAGAUCAUCCUUGCCUUGCAUUUAAAAACUAUAGAAACACAUCUUCAAGGCAGAUUUGUGACAUUUUAAACUAUACAGAUUUAUUUUUACAGGCUUCUUUGAUCAUAUUUACUAAGGGUGCUAAAAAUUCUGACCAAGACCGUAAAUGAGAACUGAUAUCUCACAUGACAAAUCAGUAUGUGACAUCCCACUCACACACUUGCGCUUUAUCCAGUGAUAAACAUAUCAUGUACCCUUUGACCCACUACUACUAGCACAAUACACACAGCAAGUUUUUAUUUAUUUUAAUGAUUUGGAUCACACAGAAUAGAACAGAAUACAGUGGGUAAAUGCUAGACUCUGUUAAAUUCUAAUAAAGUCUGUAAAUAUGUAUAGUUCUAAUUAACACACAUUUCAGGAAAAAAAAUAAAAAAUUAAUUAUAUAAUGAAAUUAAUAUUACAGAAUAUUCUGGAAAAAUUAAAUAUAGCCCUGCAUAAAUCUGGUUUAACUGGGCCUGUGAAUUUCUUAAUUUGUGAUUUGUGGAACAGGAUUUUUGCACCUGCAUUUUGAGAAGGUUUUGUUGUGUUUGUGAGAGAAAGAAACAAAAUAAAAGUUUGCAACACCUAAAACAUUUUCUUGAUGACUUCACUGAUAUGUUCUCUACAAAUACAAAUUCCACUGUCACAGGUGUUCAGUUUGGCUACAAAAAUACCACAUACAAUAGAUUCACUGUAUGCAAAUAUAACAAAGGGACAUAAACAAUUGAAAAUUUAGGGAUGUAAGCUAUAAUCCUAAACUUUUAUUUAGGAUUAUAAAUCUAAAAGAAGGGAGUGAAAAUUGUGUCUAUGACUGAUAUUAAAAUGGUGGGUUACAUCAUCAUCUUUUUUAAACCUGACCUGAUUAGUUCUCACCUGAUAUCACAAGGAAAACUGACUGAUCUGCUAUGUACCUCUGUCUUGUGUUUUCAAGGGUAAGAAUUCUUUAUAAAUACUCUUUUUACCCAUAUGUCUUUAUUUUGUGGAACACAAAAAGAGAGAGUGGCUUAGUCUCUGUAAUUUUAUAGAAAAGCAGCAAUGACAAUGAAUGGUGACUGAGGCUGUCAGUCUCUUAAUGUUCUGCCUUACAUCUCCUUUGUGCCCCACUGAAAAUAAGUCAAAUACAUUUGGUACAAAAUAACAUGACAUUUUUAUUCUGAAGUGAUUAUAGCAUUUAAUUUGUAACUUGACACUUUUUUAUUGGUCUAUAAUUUACUUUCUUUGUGUGUUUAAUUUAUU